rnacentral:rRNA from 1 species
CGUCAAAUCAGCACGGCCCUUAUGUCCAGGGCUACACACGUGUUACAAUGGCCGGUACGGAGGGCAGCUACCUGUUGACAGGAUGCGAACUCUCGAAAGCCGGUCUCAGUUCGGAUCGGAGUCUGCAACCCGACUCCGUGAAGCUGGAUUCGCUAGUAAUCGCGCAUCAGCCAUGGCGCGGUGAAUACGUUCCCGGGCCUU